UACGUAGGGAGCAAGCGUUGUCCGGAAUCAUUGGGCGUAAAGCGCGCGUAGGCGGCCUCAUAAGUCCGCUGUGAAAGUCCAAGGCUCAACCUUUGAAAGCCGGUGGAUACUGUGAGGCUAGAGUACGGAAGAGGCGAGUGGAAUUCCUGGUGUAGCGGUGGAAUGCGCAGAUAUCAGGAGGAACACCAAUAGCGAAGGCAGCUCGCUGGGACGUUACUGACACUGAGGCGCGAAAGCGUGGGGAGCGAACAGG
rnacentral:rRNA from 1 species